rnacentral:piRNA from 1 species
UGAAGAUAUAAGAAUCUCACAAUGGUCCUA